UUAAGCGACUAAGCGUACACGGUGGAUGCCCUGGCAGUCAGAGGCGAUGAAGGACGUGCUAAUCUGCGAUAAGCGUCGGUAAGGUGAUAUGAACCGUUAUAACCGGCGAUUUCCGAAUGGGGAAACCCAGUGUGAUUCGUCACACUAUCAUUAGCUGAAUCCAUAGGUUAGUGAGGCGAACCGGGGGAACUGAAACAUAUAAGUACCCCGAGGAAAAGAAAUCAACCGAGAUUCCCCCAGUAGCGGCGAGCGAACGGGGAGCAGCCCAGAGCCUGAAUCAGUGUGUGUGUUAGUGGAAGCGUCUGGAAAGGCGUGCGAUACAGGGUGACAGCCCCGUACACAAAAAUGCACAUACUGUGAGCUCGAUGAGUAGGGCGGGACACGUGGUAUCCUGUCUGAAUAUGGGGGGGACCAAUCCUCCAAAGGCUAAAAUACUCCUGACUGACCGAUAGUGAACCAGUACCGUGAGGGAAAGGCGAAAAAGAACCCCGGCGAGGGGAGUGAAAAAGACCUGAAACCGUAGUACGUACAAGCAGUGGGCGCACGCUUAGGCGUGUGACUGCGUACCUUUGUAUAAUGGGUCAGCGACUUAUAUUCUGUAGCAAGGUUAACCGAAUAGGGGAGCCGAAGGGAAACCGAGUCUUAACUGGGCGUUAAGUUGCAGGGUAUAGACCCGAAACCCGGUGAUCUAGCCAUGGGCAGGUUGAAGGUUGGGUAACACUAACUGGAGGACCGAACCGACUAAUGUUGAAAAAUUAGCGGAUGACUUGUGGCUGGGGGUGAAAGGCCAAUCAAACCGGGAGAUAGCUGGUUCUCCCCGAAAGCUAUUUAGGUAGCGCCUCGUGAAUUCAUCUCCGGGGGUAGAGCACUGUUUCGGCAAGGGGGUCAUCCCGACUUACCAACCCGAUGCAAACUGCGAAUACCGGAGAAUGUUAUCACGGGAGACACACGGCGGGUGCUAACGUCCGUCGUGAAGAGGGAAACAACCCAGACCGCCAGCUAAGGUCCCAAAGUCAUGGUUAAGUGGGAAACGAUGUGGGAAGGCCCAGACAGCCAGGAUGUUGGCUUAGAAGCAGCCAUCAUUUAAAGAAAGCGUAAUAGCUCACUGGUCGAGUCGGCCUGCGCGGAAGAUGUAACGGGGCUAAACCAUGCACCGAAGCUGCGGCAGCGACGCUUAUGCGUUGUUGGGUAGGGGAGCGUUCUGUAAGCCUGUGAAGGUGUACUGUGAGGUAUGCUGGAGGUAUCAGAAGUGCGAAUGCUGACAUAAGUAACGAUAAAGCGGGUAGAAAAGCCCGCUCGCCGGAAGACCAAGGGUUCCUGUCCAACGUUAAUCGGGGCAGGGUGAGUCGACCCCUAAGGCGAGGCCGAAAGGCGUAGUCGAUGGGAAACAGGUUAAUAUUCCUGUACUUGGUGUUACUGCGAAGGGGGGACGGAGAAGGCUAUGUUGGCCGGGCGACGGUUGUCCCGGUUUAAGCGUGUAGGCUGGUUUUCCAGGCAAAUCCGGAAAAUCAAGGCCGAGGCGUGAUGACGAGGCACUACGGUGCUGAAGCAACAAAUGCCCUGCUUCCAGGAAAAGCCUCUAAGCAUCAGGUAACAUCAAAUCGUACCCCAAACCGACACAGGUGGUCAGGUAGAGAAUACCAAGGCGCUUGAGAGAACUCGGGUGAAGGAACUAGGCAAAAUGGUGCCGUAACUUCGGGAGAAGGCACGCUGAUACGUAGGUGAAGCGACUUGCUCGUGGAGCUGAAAUCAGUCGAAGAUACCAGCUGGCUGCAACUGUUUAUUAAAAACACAGCACUGUGCAAACACGAAAGUGGACGUAUACGGUGUGACGCCUGCCCGGUGCCGGAAGGUUAAUUGAUGGGGUUAGCGCAAGCGAAGCUCUUGAUCGAAGCCCCGGUAAACGGCGGCCGUAACUAUAACGGUCCUAAGGUAGCGAAAUUCCUUGUCGGGUAAGUUCCGACCUGCACGAAUGGCGUAAUGAUGGCCAGGCUGUCUCCACCCGAGACUCAGUGAAAUUGAACUCGCUGUGAAGAUGCAGUGUACCCGCGGCAAGACGGAAAGACCCCGUGAACCUUUACUAUAGCUUGACACUGAACAUUGAGCCUUGAUGUGUAGGAUAGGUGGGAGGCUUUGAAGUGUGGACGCCAGUCUGCAUGGAGCCGACCUUGAAAUACCACCCUUUAAUGUUUGAUGUUCUAACGUGGACCCGUGAUCCGGGUUGCGGACAGUGUCUGGUGGGUAGUUUGACUGGGGCGGUCUCCUCCUAAAGAGUAACGGAGGAGCACGAAGGUUGGCUAAUCCUGGUCGGACAUCAGGAGGUUAGUGCAAUGGCAUAAGCCAGCUUGACUGCGAGCGUGACGGCGCGAGCAGGUGCGAAAGCAGGUCAUAGUGAUCCGGUGGUUCUGAAUGGAAGGGCCAUCGCUCAACGGAUAAAAGGUACUCCGGGGAUAACAGGCUGAUACCGCCCAAGAGUUCAUAUCGACGGCGGUGUUUGGCACCUCGAUGUCGGCUCAUCACAUCCUGGGGCUGAAGUAGGUCCCAAGGGUAUGGCUGUUCGCCAUUUAAAGUGGUACGCGAGCUGGGUUUAGAACGUCGUGAGACAGUUCGGUCCCUAUCUGCCGUGGGCGCUGGAGAACUGAGGGGGGCUGCUCCUAGUACGAGAGGACCGGAGUGGACGCAUCACUGGUGUUCGGGUUGUCAUGCCAAUGGCACUGCCCGGUAGCUAAAUGCGGAAGAGAUAAGUGCUGAAAGCAUCUAAGCACGAAACUUGCCCCGAGAUGAGUUCUCCCUGACCCUUUAAGGGUCCUGAAGGAACGUUGAAGACGACGACGUUGAUAGGCCGGGUGUGUAAGCGCAGCGAUGCGUUGAGCUAACCGGUACUAAUGAACCGUGAGGCUUAACCUU
rnacentral:rRNA from 1 species